GACGUAGGGCGCAAGCGUUGUCCGGAUUUAUUGGGCGUAAAGAGCUCGUAGGCGGCUCAUCGCGUCUGCCGUGAAAACCCGCAGCUCAACUGCGGGCUUGCGGUUGAUACGGGUGGGCUGGAGUUCGGUAGGGGAGACUGGAAUUCCUGGUGUAGCGGUGAAAUGCGCAGAUAUCAGGAGGAACACCGGUGGCGAAGGCGGGUCUCUGGGCCGAUACUGACGCUGAGGAGCGAAAGCCAGGGGAGCAAACGGG
rnacentral:rRNA from 1 species